rnacentral:lncRNA from 1 species
AUGCUCAAAAUUCUCCAAGCCAGGCUUCAGCACUACAUGAACUGUGAACUUCCAGAUGUUCAAGCUGGUUUUAGAAAAGGCAGAAGAACCAGAGGUCAACUUGCCAACAUCCACUGGAUCAUCGAAAAAGCAAGAGAGUUCCAGCAAAACAUCUAUUUCUGCUUUAUUGACUACGCCAAAGCCUUUGGCUGUGUGGACCACAAUAAACCGUGGAAAAUUCUUCAAGAGAUGGGAAUACCAGACCACCUGACCUGCCUCUUGAGAAACCUAUAUUCAGGUCAGGAAGCAACAGUUAGAACAGGACAUGGAACAACAGACUGGUUCCAAAUAGGAAAAGGAGUGUGUCAAGGCUGUAUAUUGUCACCCUGCUUAUUUAACUACUAUGCAGAGUACAUCAUGAGAAACGCUGGGCUGAAAGAAGCACAAGCUGGAAUCAAGAUUGCUGGGAGAAAUAACAGUAACCUCAGAUAUGCAGAUGACACCACCCUUAUGGCAGAAAGUGAAGAGGAACUAAAAAGCCUCUUGAUGAAAGUGAAAGUGGAGAAUGAAAAAGUUGGCUUAAAGCUCAACAUUCAGAAAACGAAGAUCAUGGCAUCUGGUCCCAUCACUUUAUGGGAAAUAGAUGGGGAAACAGUGUCAGACUUUAUUUUUUUGGGUUCCAAAAUCACUGCGGGUGGUGACUGCAGCCAUGAAAUUAAAAGACGCUUACUCCUUGGAAGAAAAGUUAUGACCAACCUAGAUAGCAUAUUCAAAAGCAGAGACAUUACUUUGCCAACAAAGUUCCAUCUAGUCAAGGCUAGGGCUUUUCCAGUAGUCAUGUAUGGAUGUGAGAACUGGACUGUGAAGAAAGCUGAGCUCCAAAGAAUUGAUGCGUUUGAACUGUGGUGUUGGAGAGGACUCUUGAGAGUCUGUUGGACUGCAAGGAGAUCCAACCAGUCCCUCCUAAAGGAGGUCAGUCCUGGGUGUUCAUUGGAGGGACUGAUGCUGAAGCUGAAACUGAAAUACUUUGGCCACCUCAUGGGAAGAGUUGACUCAUUGGAAAAGACCCUGAUGCUGGGAGGAAUUGGGGGCAGGAGGAGAAGGGGACGACAGAGGAUGAGAUGGCUGGAUGGCAUCACCGACUCGAUGGACAGGAGUUUGAGUGAACUCCGGGAGCUCGUGAUGGACAGUGAGGCCUGGAGUGCUGCAAUGCAUCGGGUUGCAAAGAGUCGAACACGACUGAGCGACUGA